UUACGGUCAUAUAACGUUGAAACGCUGCUUUUUCAUACGAUCACUGAAGUUAAGCAACGUCGAGUCUGGUCAGUACCUUGAUGGGCGACCGCUUGGGAAUACCACGUGCUGUAAG